CCUACGUGGUGCAGCAGUGGGGAAUAUUGGACAAUGGGCGAAAGCCUGAUCCAGCCAUGCCGCGUGUGUGAAGAAGGCCUUCGGGUUGUAAAGCACUUUCAGUGGGGAAGAAAGCCUUGGGGCUAAUACCCUCGAGGAAGGACAUCACCCACAGAAGAAGCACCGGCUAACUCCGUGCCAGCAACCGCGGUAAUACGGAGGGUGCGAGCGUUAAUCGGAAUUACUGGGCGUAAAGCGCGCGUAGGCGGUCUGAUAAGCCGGUUGUGAAAGCCCCGGGCUCAACCUGGGAACGGCAUCCGGAACUGUCAGGCUAGAGUGCAGGCGAGGAAGGUAGAAUUCCCGGUGUAGCGGUGAAAUGCGUAGAGAUCGGGAGGAAUACCAGUGGCGAAGGCGGCCUUCUGGACUGACACUGACGCUGAGGUGCGAAAGCGUGGGUAGCAAACAGGAUUAGAUACCCGAGUAGUC
rnacentral:rRNA from 1 species